CUGACUUUGUGUCUCUCCUCAGGGUGCUGUGGGCAAAACUGGGGACCCAGGGAGAGACGUGAGUGAGGGGAAAU
ensembl:miRNA MIR711 microRNA 711